ensembl:lncRNA
CAGCUUUUGGUUUGUGUGUUGUUUGGUCGGUUCAUUUCUGAUGUCUGUAGCGUCUCUGAGCAUGAUGCUGACAUCGGACCGCGUUGGAAACAUACGACUAAACAUCUGAUGCAGAAGAUACAACUAGGUGCAAGGACUUCAACAGCUUAACCAUGAUGCCAGAGGAAGGUGAACAGUGAUUGGUUUAGAGGAGAAGCUGGGAGGUCCUUGAAAGUCAAUGCUGUGUCUAUACUAGUGUCCUUUCCUCAAGACCAGCCCACCAGGGUUCACCAGGAGAGCAGAUCCCCUCCUAUGACUCAUCUGUGGAGGCGCUGCCUGGAGC